rnacentral:lncRNA from 1 species
CUAAAUAAAUAAAUAAAAAGAAAUUAAAAAAAGGAAGAAAACAUGAAAAUAUGGAGAAAAUGGAAACAAAAGGGGCGCCUGGGUCAAACCCCUCCCCUUGGGGUUGCAGGUUAAAUGGCCAACCACUGAGCCAAGCUUGCUCAGCUGAUACUUAAAAGCACUCAUGAAUAUAUAUAAAAAAUACAAAUUGAAAAUAAAUAAAUGGACCAACAACAACCAUAGGAUCUGAUUACUUAAAAAGGUAUGCACAUUGGAUGGUCCUGGUCAAAAGGAAUAACAAACACGCGUGUUGACCAACACACACAUAACCUAGGAGGCUAUAUCAUCUUAAACAACCAACGAAAACACUCAAUGUAAAUUUUUUAAUUUAAAUGGAAAAGGGAAACACGGGAAGCAACCGUUUGCAUCGUCUUGAAC